rnacentral:rRNA from 1 species
UACGUAGGAAGACUAGUGUUAUUCAUCUUUAGUAGGUUUAAAGGGUACCUAGACGGUAUAAUUAGAUCUUAAAAGUGGAUACGGUUAUACUAGAGUUAUAUAUGGAGGAGGUGAGUAUUUAUGGAGUAGAGUUGAAAUUCUUUGAUACCAUAACGACUGAUAACGGCGAAAGCAACCUUUUAUCUAAUAACUGACGUUGAGGGACGAAGGCUCGGGUAACGAACAGG